UACAGAGGUCUCAAGCGUUGUUCGGAUUCAUUGGGCGUAAAGGGUGCGUAGGCGGCGGGGCAAGUCGGAUGUGAAAUCUCAGGGCUCAACCCUGAAACUGCAUUCGAUACUGCCUUGCUCGAGGACUGGAGAGGAGAUUGGAAUUCACGGUGUAGCAGUGAAAUGCGUAGAUAUCGUGAGGAAGACCAGUGGCGAAGGCGGAUCUCUAGUACGGUACUGACGCUGAGACGCGAAAGCGUGGGGAGCGAACAGG
rnacentral:rRNA from 1 species